UACAGAGGGGGCAAGCGUUGUUCGGAAUUACUGGGCGUAAAGGGCGCGUAGGCGGUUCGUUAAGUCCUGUGUGAAAUCCCCCAGCUCAACUGGGGAACUGCACAGGAAACUAGCGGGCUUGAGUUCGGGAGAGGGAAGCGGAAUUCCGGGUGUAGCGGUGAAAUGCGUAGAUAUCCGGAGAAACACCGGUGGCGAAGGCGGCUUCCUGGACCGACACUGACGCUGAGGCGCGAAAGCUAGGGGAGCAAACGGG
rnacentral:rRNA from 1 species